rnacentral:rRNA from 1 species
GACGAACGCUGGCGGCGUGCUUAACACAUGCAAGUCGAACGGUGAAGCGCCUUCCUUUUUGGUGGGUGUGGAUGAGUGGCGAACGGGUGAGUAACACGUGAGUAACCUGCCCCCUUCUUCUGGAUAACCGCAUGAAAGUGUGGCUAAUACGGGAUAUUCUGGGUCUGUCGCAUGAUUGGUCUGGGAAAGAUAUUGUUUCGGUGGGGGAUGGGCUCGCGGCCUAUCAGCUUGUUGGUGGGGUGAUGGCCUACCAAGGCGGUGACGGGUAGCCGGCCUGAGAGGGUGGACGGUCACACUGGGACUGAGACACGGCCCAGACUCCUACGGGAGGCAGCAGUGGGGAAUAUUGCACAAUGGGCGCAAGCCUGAUGCAGCGACGCCGCGUGAGGGAUGGAGGCCUUCGGGUUGUGAACCUCUUUCGCCAGUGAAGCAGGCCUGCCUCGUUUGUGGGUGGGUUGACGGUAGCUGGAUAAGAAGCGCCGGCUAACUACGUG